rnacentral:lncRNA from 1 species
GUUAAAAUGCCUCUUUAUUAAUAUACAAACCAAGCAACAAUUAGGCCAAUCAAAACAUGAAAUAAAGCAUGAAAUAAGUACAGCAUAUAUAACAUGGCCUCAGUGGAGAGCAGCAAACUCACCCUGACUUGUGCGCUUGGGAACAACUGCCCAUGUCCUCCACCAUGGGGUUUAGCCAUCAGAGCAGCUUUGUCUCUCCCAAACCCCUUUGAAUCCACGACUGGCAGAGGCGAGACCACAGCUCCUCUCAAAUGCAACCACUCAGCGUGAGGUUUCUACAACCCCACAUCUCAAAAGUAUAAAAAAGCAUCCCCAGGCUGCUAGAGGUGAUCUGUGGGUGUCUGCCUGCCAUGACACUGCAAAGGAAGAGAGAGGGAGAUGACUGAAGUGGAUGGGGAACCACGCUACUGAAGUUGUUCCUUGCUCUGUCCCAGCUCAGCUACACCCAUUGCACAAAAUUCACAAGCAUAAGGCACUAGGAAAAUGUUUUCACAGGUUCAAACUUCAGUUGUUCUUAAAAUUUCAGCAGCAGCACACUUCAGGAGUCCUCCGAGCCCUCUAAAAUCUCUGGAGAUUGAUAAGAGCAUGAAGGAGCUUUGGACACAUACUGGUGUAUUGAUACCCACAAGCAAUGGUGGAGAAGGGAGGUACUGGUGCAGAUAGCAGUCUCCUCUCAGGAGACCUGCACUGUGUGUUUGUCCUAGAACAGGGAGCCCUUCUCCCACAGAAUUCAGGGCUCCUGUAACACAGCUAUGUAUGCAAAAGCCAUCAUGCAUACACAGCUAGGAGAGCAGAAAGUGACAGAAAGAAAAGAUCUUGUACCAGGAGCAGCAGCAUGGAGCUCAUCUGGACCAAAAAGAGGUUUCCCUGACUCCUGCUGAAGAUGCUGGAAGUGUUACCAUCAGCCAGCUGCCUGCCACCAGUCUGGAACCACCUGCACUCACAGCACACGUGUGCUCCUUCCCCUAAGUGUGGCUUGGGUUGCUUCUCUGGCAGCGUAGCGUGUCGUACCGCUUUGUUUUGUGCUAUAACUCAUAGCUAGUCUGACAUCAGGAACCCAGCAGAGCUUUGAGACAAAUGGGAGAUGGGAAGUCCCAUUUUCACAAAUGUUAGGGGUGGCACAAGAUUCCUCUGCUCCCGCUUCUCUUGCAAACAUCAGCUGGUACACCAGGGAAGUGUUUGAGCAAGGAUCUGUGUUUCCUUUAAUGCAAUGGGACGCUCACAGAGUACUCUACACUACCCCAGGAAGAAGAAAACCCAUUAGAGCUGGAGAGCCACAGUGAAUAAAUCUAUUUCUGGGAAAGGGGGGAAAAAGGGAAGGUGUAAGCCCAGACAGCUGUACAGGCACGGGAGCUCCCAGCUAUUUUAGUGGCAUUCAGUAGGAAUUGGAAUUCCUACUGAAGGCUCAGACCAGCAGCACACUGCAGCAGCAGCUUCCACCAACACUCAGAAAUACCACCCAAGGUUUGGACCCGCUCUGUAUGCUCAGCACACAGCGUUCCAGGAGGAAAAUCAAACAACAGGCACAACCAGGGCCCAAACACCUCAUCUCAACCUUUAAGGCAUCUACAAAUAUUUAAAGUUGUUUUUCCUCUCUCAAAUGCAAAGACUCCACCUGCUGAGAGGUAUAACCAUGCUACAAUCAUGAUGCUUAAGGGAAAUUUAAAGUGCAAAGAAAAUUUAUGAAUGCUUUUUAGAGACACCUCAAAGUCACCUGCUGACACCAAACCCCUCCUUCCCAAAGCCCUGUUCCCUGACCGAAUGCUUUUUAAAAAUGAAGAUCCAAUUAAUCAGUUAAGGAAAAGGUAGUUUAAAACAGAAAAGCACCCUGAAAUGAGCAGAAAUUAACCUGACCAAGCACUGGAAUAAAAUCACUUGGGAAGACAAAUCCAGAGAAGCUGUGGCUGCCCCAUCCCUGGCAGUGCUCAAGGCCAGGUUGGACGGGGCUUGGAGCAACCUGCUCUAGUGGAAGGUGUCCCUGCCCAUGGCAGGGGGUUGGAACUGGAUGAGCUUUAAGGUCCCUUCCAACCCAAACCAGUCUGGGAUUCUAUGAUUCUCAGCAGCCAAGCCUUCUGUCUGAAAUAAAAACAACUUCUGCCCUUGCAAGCAACCUCCCUCUCCCCAAACACGGCAACUUCUACCUUAUUUUCACAGAUUUCUUCCCAAAACGUGACUGUUUCGUUAAAGUGUGCUGGAAGGACAAGGGCAGCGAUGGCAAUGUUGUGCUUUCCCAGUUACUAGGCAGUCCUAGGUAAUGAUUGGACUUGAUCUUAAAGGUCUUUGCCAACCUUGUUGAUUCUAUGAUUCUAUGUGCCAGAGAGACAAGCACUGUGAGCAAUCGAGGGUACGCACUCCCCACCUCCCUGUGCAGCACCAUUCCUUUCAUUGCCACGAGAAAUGAGAGUGGGAAACGUGUGCUGAAAAAUGAACAGCACCACUGCUCUCAACUCCUCAGAUCACUGUCCCCAGUCUGCCCAGGGCCAUCGCUGCCCCUCAGCGCUUGUCCAGCACUAAGGCUGCAGAGGAAGAUGCUCCCCGAGCUGGGAAUCAGGACUGAUCCUCUCUCCAAGGCUGGGCUUAACUGGGUGAGUAACGGGCAAAGGAUCAAGCCGCAAUCACGCCUCUCCUUCCUCAGCUCAGCCACUCUGCCAUCCAUCCCCUUGCCUGUUUUUAUUUCACUGUGCCUUGUGCUCUGAUGGGCAAAAGGAACUAAUGCACUCAGCUGCCUGAGGAAGAUUACAGAAGUUUUAAGGAGAGUGGGAAAACCCUGGUACAGGGAGCAGGAGUGUUACAUGGUGGAACACAGAGCAGCCACAAACCUGCCUGGGAGUUUGGAUGUUGGUAUCUGCACUAUCUGAAAGUUGAAGAGCUUAACUCAAUGCAGAGAGAUAAGAGCUAGAGCCAACCUGGCCCAGAUGAUGAAGCAUCAGGUAGAAUUAGAGAAGAACCCUACAUAUGAGAGGUCUUAUAGCAGCACAGGUUGAGUUUGAAGGUGUCGCAGGAACAGCAACACAAUCAGCAGCAGCUUGAAUGCAACAGUGGAAAGAAGGAAUUCAAGUUUACAGCAAGACUUGGAAAUGCAGUGGAAGCUUCACACGGCCUGCCCUCCUUGUCACAAAAUGAGAAGGAACUGUCCAACAAGGCACAUCAAAUAUGGAUACUGGAGUCAACAUAGAGAAAACAAGAAAUUAAGUCUGGCAAGUACAGAUGUGAAAAUCCCUGUAACACACUCUCCUGAAAGAGAAAACAUUCAUAAACAGACUGCUUUAACUUUAUCCCCAGAUCAUUAAAUAUGAACAAGAAACUUCCUUUAACACCACUUCUACUCAAGCCUCUCAGUACUCAUGCAGGGACUAACAAAACAUGACAGCUCAGGGAAGGACAUAACAACUGUAAGAUAAUGUAAUACCUCUGGAGAAAGGAAUUCAAUGGAAGAGGCUGCUACGUCUUACACAGUUCCCCAUACUACAGAUGACACCACGCCAAGAAAGCCCUUCCUAGCAUAGAGGAAUGCCAUAGAUUUAGAUGUAUUCACCACUGCCACACCAGCAAACCCACACAGAUGUUGACUUCUGAGGUAAGAAAAAACAAGCUUACACAUGCCAAGUGCACAUCACCCCCCGUGGCCUAUCUCCCCAUGGGUCACCCUUCCCUUAACAUUUGUCCCUGAUCGGCAAUAAGUUUAUCCUAACACAGGUUAUAGAAUCAUAGAAUGGUUUGUGUUGGAAGGGACCGUCAAAAGUCAUCUAGUCCAACCUCCCUGCAAUGAGCAGGGAUGCUCAACUUAUAAUAUUUUAGCCAAAAAGAGAAGUUAUUUUCUCAUACUAAACUCCCAUUAACUUCCCAUAAACAAAACCUACAGGAUUGUUCCCAUUCUGGGCC